GGGGUAGUGGCUCAGAGGUAGAGCACUUGCCUAGCAUGCAUGAGGCACUGGGUUCACUCCUCAGCACCACG
rnacentral:tRNA from 1 species